rnacentral:rRNA from 1 species
UACGGAGGAUCCAAGCGUUAUCCGGAUUUAUUGGGUUUAAAGGGAGCGUAGGCGGACUAUUAAGUCAGCUGUGAAAGUUUGCGGCUCAACCGUAAAAUUGCAGUUGAUACUGGUCGUCUUGAGUGCAGUAGAGGUAGGCGGAAUUCGUGGUGUAGCGGUGAAAUGCUUAGAUAUCACGAAGAACUCCGAUUGCGAAGGCAGCUUACUGGACUGUAACUGACGCUGAUGCUCGAAAGUGUGGGUAUCAAACAGG